GACGAACGCUGGCGGCGUGCUUAACACAUGCAAGUCGAACGGGCCUGUCUUCUUUUUUGGGGGUGGGUUGAGUGGCGAACGGGUGAGUAUCACGUGAGUAACCUGCCCUUCGUUCCUGGAUAACCGCUUGAAAGGGCGGCUAAUACGGGGUGGUCCGGUUGGUCCGCAUGGGCUGGUCGGGAUAGAUUCACUGUUUUUGGUGUUUCGGCGGGGGAUGGGCUCGGGGCCUAUCAGCUUGUUGGUGGGGUGAUGGCCUACCAAGGCGGUGACGGGUAGCCGGGCUGAGGGGGUGGGCGGCCACACUGGGACUGAGAUACGGCCCAGACUCCUGCGGGAGGCAGCAGUGGGGGGUAUUGCACAAUGGGCGGAAGCCUGAUGCAGCGACGUCGCGUGAGGGAUGGAGGCCUUCGGGUUGUGAACCUCUGUUUCCGGUGGUGAAGGCCCCGUCCGUGUGGUGGGGUUGACGGUAGCCGGGGAUGAAGCGCCGGCUAACUACGUG
rnacentral:rRNA from 1 species